UACGUAGGGUGCAAGCGUUAAUCGGAAUUACUGGGCGUAAAGCGUGCGCAGGCGGUUUUGUAAGUCUGUCGUGAAAUCCCCGGGCUCAACCUGGGAAUUGCGAUGGAGACUGCAAGGCUAGAAUCUGGCAGAGGGGGGUAGAAUUCCACGUGUAGCAGUGAAAUGCGUAGAGAUGUGGAGGAACACCGAUGGCGAAGGCAGCCCCCUGG
rnacentral:rRNA from 1 species